rnacentral:rRNA from 1 species
UACGUAGGGAGCAAGCGUUAUCCGGAUUUAUUGGGUGUAAAGGGUGCGUAGACGGGAAGACAAGUUAGUUGUGAAAUCCCUCGGCUUAACUGAGGAACUGCAACUAAAACUAUCUUUCUUGAGUGCGGGAGAGGAAAGUGGAAUUCCUAGUGUAGCGGUGAAAUGCGUAGAUAUUAGGAGGAACACCAGUGGCGAAGGCGACUUUCUGGACCGUAACUGACGUUGAGGCACGAAAGUGUGGGGAGCAAAC